ACUGUCUGGCACUCCCUAGUGAGAUGAACCCGGUACCUCAGAUGGAAAUGCAGAAAUCACCCGUCUUCUGCGUCGCUCACGCUGGGAGCUGUAGACCGGAGCUGUUCCUAUUCGGCCAUCUUGGCUCCUCCCUCUGAAGAAAGCAAUGUAGAAGACAGAUUGGAAGACUAGAAGACAGUCCGGAGGCCCCAGAGGAAGCUAAUGGUCUGAAAUAACAGCUUAAGAACAAAGAACUGUGAAUAGUUGCUCACCUCUGAAAAAUUCUCGAAGGAAUAGGUGAUCAUUGGGUUGAAGACGAACAGAAGAUGAUAAACUUGGAAGAUAAUAAACUUAAAAGUUAUGCCUUUCUUAUAUGGUAAAAGGACUUUCUCCUGAAAUGCAAUAAACUUGAGAUGACUAGGGGAAUGAACACGCAAUGGAAGCUGGAGAUAGACAUCUGGGAGGCCUCUGUAGGGCUCUCAUUCUUCUUUCUGACACCAUGUGAAGAAGGACAUGUUGGCUUCCCCUUCUGCCAUGAUUAGUCCAACAGAAAAUUUUAAGUACCUGUUUAAAGCAAUUUACAAGA
rnacentral:lncRNA from 1 species